rnacentral:rRNA from 1 species
CCUACGGGGGGCUGCAGUGGGGAAUAUUGGACAAUGGGUGAAAGCCUGAUCCAGCCAUGCCGCGUGUGUGAAGAAGGCCUUCGGGUUGUAAAGCACUUUCAGUGGGGAAGAAAGCCUUGGGGCUAAUACCCUCGAGGAAGGACAUCACCCACAGAAGAAGCACCGGCUAACUCCGUGCCAGCAGCCGCGGUAAUACGGAGGGUGCGAGCGUUAAUCGGAAUUACUGGGCGUAAAGCGCGCGUAGGCGGUCUGAUAAGCCGGUUGUGAAAGCCCCGGGCUCAACCUGGGAACGGCAUCCGGAACUGUCAGGCUAGAGUGCAGGAGAGGAAGGUAGAAUUCCCGGUGUAGCGGUGAAAUGCGUAGAGAUCGGGAGGAAUACCAGUGGCGAAGGCGGCCUUCUGGACUGACACUGACGCUGAGGUGCGAAAGCGUGGGUAGCAAACAGGAUUAGAUACCCCAGUAGUC